GGAGAGGUAGCUCAGUAUUAAGAGCACUGAUGCUCUUCCAGAGGUCCUGAGUUCAAAUCCCAGCAACUACA
rnacentral:tRNA from 1 species